rnacentral:rRNA from 1 species
GACGAACGCUGGCGGCGUGCCUAAUACAUGCAAGUUGAGCGCUGAAGGUUGGUACUUGUACCAACUGGAUGAGCAGCGAACGGGUGAGUAACGCGUCGGGAAUCUGCCUUUGAGCGGGGGACAACAUUUGGAAACGAAUGCUAAUACCGCAUAAAAACUUUAAACACAAGUUUUAAGUUUGAAAGAUGCAAUUGCAUCACUCAAAGAUGAUCCCGCGUUGUAUUAGCUAGUUGGUGAGGUAAAGGCUCACCAAGGCGAUGAUACAUAGCCGACCUGAGAGGGUGAUCGGCCACAUUGGGACUGAGACACGGCCCAAACUCCUACGGGAGGCAGCAGUAGGGAAUCUUCGGCAAUGGACGAAAGUCUGACCGAGCAACGCCGCGUGAGUGAAGAAGGUUUUCGGAUCGUAAAACUCUGUUGGUAGAGAAGAACGUUGGUGAGAGUGGAAAGCUCAUCAAGUGACGGUAACUACCCAGAAAGGGACGGCUAACUACGUG